rnacentral:tRNA from 2 species
GGAAGAGAAUCGUUCCCCGGUGGGGCGCCAGGACUUCAACUCCUGUAGGGGCUGCCAGCAGUCCCUGGUGGGUUCGACUCCCACUCUCUUCCGCCA